UACGAAGGGGGGCUAGCGUUGUUCGGAAUCACUGGGCGUAAAGCGUACGUAGGCGGACCAUUAAGUCGGGGGUGAAAUCCUGGAGCUCAACUCCAGAACUGCCUUCGAUACUGGAGAGCUUGAGUCCGGGAGAGGUGAGUGGAACUGCGAGUGUAGAGGUGAAAUUCGUAGAUAUUCGCAAGAACACCAGUGGCGAAGGCGGCUCACUGGCCCGGUACUGACGCUGAGGUGCGAAAGCGUGGGGAGCAAACAGGGAUUAAGAA
rnacentral:rRNA from 1 species